rnacentral:rRNA from 1 species
CGCGAAAACUUUACAAUGCGGGAAACCGUGAUAAGGGAACUCCGAGUGCCCGUAAAAUCGGGCUGUCCAUCUGUUUAAAUAACAGGUGAAGAAAGGGCCGGGCAAGACCGGUGCCAGCCGCCGCGGUAAUACCGGCGGCUCGAGUGGUGGCCACUAUUACUGGGCUUAAAGCGUUCGUAGCUGAUCUGUUAAGUCUCUGGGGAAAUCUACUGGCUUAACCAAUAGGCGUCUCAGGGAUACUGGCAGACUAGGGACCGGGAGAGGUGAGAGGUACUCCAGGGGUAGGAGUGAAAUCCUGUAAUCCUUGGGGGACCACCUGUGGCGAAGGCGUCUCACCAGAACGGCUCCGACAGUGAGGGACGAAAGCUGGGGGAGCAAACCGGAUUAGAUACCCGGGUAGUCCCAGCCGUAAACGAUGCGCGUUAGGUGUAUCGGUGACC